rnacentral:tRNA from 1 species
GGGCUUGUGGCUUAGCUGGUAGAAGCGUUGCCUUUUCAAGGCAAGGUUUAAAUCUCCGGCGAGUCCA